GUUGCUGGUGGGGGCGAGACACGAGCGCACACGCGUUCCACCGGGCCCGACUCUCAGAAGUGAACAUCACCCUGGCCUUUCGUGGCUUCCUUUCAUUCUACUUCGAGCUUUCCCAUUCGCUAUUGAUUUCAUUAUUUCCGUUAGGCUCUCGGGAUGAAGAAAAAACCUCUAGGGAAGCAUCAUUAUGCGUUUUAAUUGGCAUAGGAGACGUAUAUGCCAUAUUUGAGGCUCCUGAGGCUUCUCCUUGACUGGUCUGGGAGCUUCCUUAUGAAAAGCCAGUUUUAGCAAAAAUCCCACUAAGCCUAACUGGAACCCCUGGCCCUUGACGUCUGGCCACCCUUGACAUUGGGUUCCUCAUCUCUUACCAUCCCCAGGUGAUGUGCGAUCACCUUGCCUUCAGCAAAGAAUCCUGUCUGGUUGGUUCAGCCAGAACCCGAUUUAUCCCCGAUGUUUCCUCUUUGUACCUUCCCAUCCUCUGACCCCCACCCCGCCCCUUGGCUAGAAGUCCCCGCUUGCCCACGCUGUAUUCAGAGUUGAGCCCAGUCUCUCUCCCCCACAGCAGUGGACCCUACCCAGUCCCAAUGGUCCUGAAUAAAGUCUGCUUUACCAUAUUUAACACAUGCUGUUGAAUAUUCCCUUCCUGUAAUAGCUGGUGGUAGAGACUGACGAGGGUAAGAGGAUAGAGGGUUUGAGAAUAGAGCAUUAAAGGAGGAAUUAUGUCCUUACGGGAGGUGGGGAAUCGCAAGGUAAGGGUAGAUUCCCUUACCUUACAGGCAAGGGUAACAAGAUGGCACAAGAACAUCCAGGACAAGAGAACAGCAGUUGUCCUCAAGACUUCCUUCCCGGGAGUGGGCUUGCCGUCCAUGUGCUGACCACCCCACAUCUACAUUUCCACGCUCCCCAAAGGCUUCACAAAGAGUCUGAAACGCGGUGAGUCCAGGUGGAAACCCAAUACCACCUGCCUCAAGUGGGGCCGCCCCAUGAUUCUGUAACCUGAGGAUGGAUGCCGCCACCAGCUGGUUAUCCAGGACGGAAAAACCAGGAAAACAUUCCGGAUUCCAUUUUUUUUUGAAUCCUUCACCAAGUCCUUCUGAUUCUACCUCCUAAAAACGUCAAGGCUGUUACCAUC